rnacentral:snRNA from 1 species
AAAUGUGAGGGCUAUCUGGCUGUGACAUCUGUCACCCCGUUUAUCCCCAGGGUUGAUUUUUGUCUGAUCUGGCUGGCUAGGGGGGUGUCCCCUUCUUCCCUCACGGCUCCAUGUGUGUCCCUCCCAAAGCUGCAUGCUUGGUCGAAGAGGACGACCUUCCCCCUGGUGUUGUCCCCCUCCG